CAAAUUGUAUACCUCUGGCCUAGAGCACUGAGAGAAAGUGAUAUGUCCAACAUCACGCAGGCAUUAUGUAGCAGAGGCAGAAUUUGAAUAUAGGACCUACUGGCUUCAAAGCCAACUAACUGUCUUUUCACUAUGCUACGUAGCCUCUCAGUAAAUCAUGAUAGUUUGGAUUUUUAUAAGGAGACUUUAAGAUAUAUUUCAACAUAAUAUCUAUCAAUCGAUUCUGUCUUCACAAUAGUAUUGUGUGAAUUUUAAAAGUCUCCAUCUUGGUCUAGCACCCAAAAAUUGUGCACACCCAACUACACGGGCAUGCGCUAGUCAAUGGCAAAUCAGAAAUAACUAACCGCCCACCUGGGCUGUCCUAAGCCAAGCUAGAGCCAACCAUUGGAUUUGUGAGACACAGGAAGUGAGGUAGGGAACAGCCUCUGGAAUUCGCGGACUUCCUGUGGAGAGAGCUAGAGGGGAGUUGGUGUUAGGAGCUUGGAGAGAGAGGACGCCCGCAGACAGCUUUCCUUCAGAUCGGUCACAUCAGAUAUUAUUCGAGUUCCCUUCUCUAUGACCAUCUGUACUGUACUAAGAUGGAAGCAAUAAUACAAUCCUGCAGUGCUAACUUGCCACAGGAAGUGUCCUCUCUCAAUGGAAGUUUAAAGGAAACGGUGCCCCUUUUACUUGGAAAGAAUUUAUCUUUAUUUUCUACCUCACUGUUCUGUUUAACUGAAAGGUUUUUGUUUUUGAAUGCUUAUAUCCUCUGGCUUGCAAUUUAGGUAGUUAGGUGAAUAAUAUUUGAAUCCUCUAUGCUUCUAUUUCUUUUUGAACUUUAAAUGCCAAUUAAUUUCAUAAUGAAGCCCAAGAAAUAUAAUACUGUCUUAAACUUACAGGAGCUAAGCCAUACAUUAUUACAUCAAGAGCUCCCAGAAUGACUCCUUCAAUGAUUAAUUUCAUUUUUAAUACUUUGAUUAAACUCAAGAGUAUUCAAAGUUCAGAAAAUUAAGAUGAUACCUGAUCUUUGGUAUAAAAUCAGAUCCAGGCUAUAGAAGAUUAAAGUGAAUUUCAGUAAUAUUUAAAUAUUAGCAGAAAGUAAAGUCCCACUACGAAGUGAUUAUUCCUAUUGAAUAUUUUUAUUCUUCUGUUUGUUUUCUUUUCUCUUGAAGGAGAAAAUAAUUCCCAACCCUAUGGGAAAUGAUUUAUCUUUCUGAGUGAAUAAAACCUCUUAGUCUGAAACCCACUUCUUCACCAUAGAUGAAUUUUUAAAGUCAUAAUGACCUGUAUACCAGUUUUCUCUUCUGAACUGUCAGCUCCACUUUCUGAACAAAUCAUUAACCCCACAUAGCUGUUGGAACAGUCUCGCCCUAUCUUGGUAAUUAGAGUUCUUCAUUAACUUGCUCAACAUUGGCCUUUAUUAUAUGGUUUGAUUCACUGGUUUUAUUCAACUAACAAAAUAAAUGAUGUGGUGUAGUUUGUUUAUUUUUAACUUCUAUAAAGCAAAAUAAAUAGUUCAAAGAAUUUAGCUUAAAUAUUAUAUAAAGUAUUUAUGGUUUAGUCUCUAAUUUAGACAAUAGCAGGACCUUAGAAGAAAGAGUCCAAUGAGCACAUUUUGCAGAUGGAAACAAUGAGGCACAGGCUAUCAACUAUCUUGUUCAUGGACAUACAGAAAACAAAUGGUAGACUCCAAUUUUAAAUCAAGUCCUUUAAAACUUACAUUUUUUACCCCACUGUACCAUGUUGCAAUACAAGAAAAAUAAGUCAGUGAACCUCAUUUCCAUGAAAAAUAAAAGCUAUUUGUUAAGCCAUGCACAAAGCUUGCUUGACUAAAUCAUACUUUUUUUUUUUUUAAACUGAUACCUUUGAGUGCAGCUAGGUGGCUCAGCAGGUUGAGAUCCAAGCCUGAAGACAGGAAGGAGUUCCUGUGUUCAACUGUGACCUCAGACACUUCCUGGUUAUGUAAUGCUGGGCAAGUCACUUGACCCCUAUUGCUUAGCCAUUACCACUCUUCUAACUUGGGACCAAUAUACAGUAUGGAUCCUAAGAAUAUAUUGAUUCUAAGUCUGAAGGUAAGGCAAAUCUUGUGACUGGCUGUGGGUGAUACGUGUCACACAACUAGGAAGUAUAUAAGGUCACAUUUGAUUUCAGCACCUCCUAGCUGUUCCCCCUAAACCAGAGACUUUUGGGAAAAAUUUUUCUCAGAGUCCUAUCCUCAUUUACUUUUCUAAUAUAUGAAAUCUGGUAGUUAGGUACAUUACAUGAUUUUUUGCUGAAAGAUCCUGUCCCCCAAGAGAAUCUUUGUUCUUGCUUGAAUUUACAUUCCUGUAUUACACAGCCAGAGAAAGAUUUGCAUUUUCCUUUGUAAAACAUCUUGCCCUUUAUUCUGAGGACUGAAGGGGAAGAAAGAAAAAAAAAGAAAAGAUUGGUUCUAAACAAAGAUCAUCUUGCCCUUCACAUUCAAUUUGGAGUUUUCAUUUCUUUGACCCUAAGACAUACAUUUUUUUUUCUAUGAGUAUUUUCUCUGAAAAGAAGAAGAAAAAGAAAAGAAAAGAAAAUUAUACCCUCCUACUCCCUGGCUUUUCCUUUUUAUAAGAACCAUAGCUUUAUCUAAGAUUUCCAACUUUCCUCAGUUCCUUACUCUCCUCCACAGAGUAUGUGUAUUCUAGGCACACUGCAUCACCAGAGUUUGGCCACAUGGUGGUCCUCCAAAAAAAUCUGGUUUUUAUUUAUAAUAUUUUAUCUUUCAUCUCUCUGGUGCCUUUUCUCAUUACACCUACUUAAUUCUUUUUAGACUCAGCCUGUGUGGAGUGAGAAAUUAGUGCAUUAGUCUCAUUAUUAAUAGUUAUUAAAAUCUCCAAGAAGUCAAUAAAAGCUGUUCCCCCCCCCCCAUCUCUAUCCACCUCUCUUCAAGACAAAAUUACCCCAACCAAAUUCUUCUCAAAGUAGGACAAAAGCAUUACAGCUUUAAGUGUUUGGAGUUCUGUCUUUGGAGUUUGUUUGAGAACCUGCCUUAGGGAGGUGUUCUAGGCUGAUCUUGUCUUAGAUCUUAUAGUACUCAAUGAUCAAAGCUUAAAUACCAUUUUGUCUUAGAAGUCUCUCCCAUUGUUGUCAGAUCCAGUAUCUGAAAUGAUCCUCACAUCAACUCCUUCCAGAUAAUGUAGCCCAGAACUCCUCUCUACAACACUAAAGGCUAUUAAACUGAAUAUUCCUUUCUUUAUUUCUGGAUUGAAAAUCUUUGUCUCCAACUCUUUAAAAUGUUAAUUUGAAGGAAGGCUUGAAUGUUUCAAAUAACUAUAUUGAAUUUUCCUAGAAAUUGGAAGUGUCUAUGUACACCUUGGGACAUUGUAGCACGAACAUUGUAUUGGGUUCAGUCUCUUGUCAGUCUAAGGCAUGACUGCACAUCUCUGUCUCUCUCUCUCUGUAAAUCAGGGGAACAUUUGUCUGAGAUCUAUGAUGUGAGAUAUUGCUCUACAUCUCUCUCAAUAAAUACAUUCCAUUUUAGAAGGUUUUUCUUGGUCUUUUUUAAUAGUAAAGAAGAUAUUUUCAAGGCCCCCUUAAAAUUCUACUUCACACAAGCCCUUUAUCAAUGACCCAAUGUUUUUCAAUACCUAUUGAAAAUCUUUUUCUUUGCUAAUGUCACUCAAAUCUCUCUCUCCCUCUAAUGCUUUUCUUCCUCCUGAUUGUAAUUAAAACACCAUAAAAAGGUUGACUGAUGACUUGAGUUUUCAUUUAGGAAUUACAUAGCUGAAUUCCUUGGCGACCUUAAAUUAAUAUAUAUCAGUCUUUUAAAGUGAUUUCCAUAUCACACCCCUCCAUGUGCCCUUAAUAAUUUUUAUUACCUUAUAUUCAGGAAAAGUUGC